UUACGGCCAUAUCACGUUGAAACAUCGGUCCCCGUACGAUCAAAGAAGUUAAACAACGUUGAGCCUGGUCAGUAACUAGAUGGGUAACAACUUAGGAAUACCUGGUGCUGUAAG